GACGAACGCUGGCGGCGUGCUUAACACAUGCAAGUCGAACGGAAAGGCCCUGCUUUUGUGGGGUGCUCGAGUGGCGAACGGGUGAGUAACACGUGAGUAACCUGCCCUUGACUUUGGGAUAACUUCAGGAAACUGGGGCUAAUACCGGAUAGGAGCUCUUGCUGCAUGGUGGGGGUUGGAAAGUUUCGGCGGUUGGGGGUGGACUCGCGGCUUAUCAGCUUGUUGGUGGGGUAGUGGCUUACCAAGGCUUUGACGGGUAGCCGGCCUGAGAGGGUGACCGGCCACAUUGGGACUGAGAUACGGCCCAGACUCCUACGGGAGGCAGCAGUGGGGAAUAUUGCACAAUGGGCGGAAGCCUGAUGCAGCAACGCCGCGUGCGGGAUGACGGCCUUCGGGUUGUAAACCGCCUUCGCCUGUGACGAAGCGUGAGUGACGGUAAUGGGUAAAGAAGCACCGGCUAACUACGUGCCAGCCGCCGCCGUAA
rnacentral:rRNA from 1 species